rnacentral:rRNA from 1 species
GCGAGUGAACCGGGAAAAGCUCAAAUUUGAAAUCUGGCUGUCUUCGAUAGUCCGAGUUGUAAUCUAUAGAAGUGUUUUCCGUGCUGAACUGUGUCUAAGUCCCUUGGAACAGGGUAUCAAAGAGGGUGACAAUCCCGUACUUGACACAAUCAUCAGUGCUCUGUGAUACACUUUCUACGAGUCGAGUUGUUUGGGAAUGCAGCUCAAAAUGGGUGGUAAAUUCCAUCUAAAGCUAAAUAUUGGCGAGAGACCGAUAGCGAACAAGUACCGUGAGGGAAAGAUGAAAAGCACUUUGGAAAGAGAGUUAAACAGUACGUGAAAUUGUUGAAAGGGAAACGAUUGAAGUCAGUCGUGUUCAUUGGAUUCAGCUAGUUCUUCUAGUCUACUUCCUUUGAACGGGUCAACAUCAGUUUUGUCCGGUGGAUAAAGGCAGUAGGAAUGUGGCUUCUUCGGAAGUGUUAUAGCCUAUUGUCACAUACACUGGAGGAGACUGAGGACUGCAGCUCGCCUUUUGGCCGGGGUUCGCCCACGUUCGAGCUUAGGAUGUUGACAUAAUGGCUUUAAACGACCC